GUGGACAAAGAUACGAGGGACCUUAACCACACCGGCGUCAACAAGACCCUUCACACCUACUUUCGUUUCAUCGAAUUCCCUUAACUCUUUUAUUCAGUCAUAAGUUGGAGUUAUGGAGAUCAACCAU